AGCGUGUGGUGCCGCUUCAUGCUCCACAUUGGGAUUUUGUGGGUUGUCUUUGCUUUCCAUUGCUUGCUUUGCAUUUGGGAAGAGGUUUUUCAGGGUACGUUUAGAAUACCUAUGUGCUUGGCCUGUUUUAAAGCUCCUUAUCUAAAUUCUUUGCUCUUCCGUAUAGAGGAUGGCUCUCCGGAAAUAAAAGCAGAAAGCAGCAGGCUUGUAGGUGUAGAGAUCUGGUGAGCAUUUGGGGAUGAUUACAGGUUCAUAUGUUGGUUUUCUGAAUACCAUGGUUUUCAAGUUACAAUCUUUGAGCUCCAAGUUUAUGUCUAGAAAGUGCGCAGUAGUAGUAGACUUGUCUUGUAGUUUUAAAGUUA
rnacentral:lncRNA from 1 species